rnacentral:rRNA from 1 species
UACAGAGGGUGCAAGCGUUAAUCGGAAUUACUGGGCGUAAAGGGCGCGUAGGCGGAGUAUUAAGUUAGAUGUGAAAUCCCUGGGCUUAACCUGGGAAUGGCAUUUAAUACUGAUAAUCUAGAGUAGAGUAGAGGGAAGUGGAAUUUCCGGUGUAGCGGUGAAAUGCGUAGAGAUCGGAAAGAACACCAGUGCGAAGGCGGCUUCCUGGACUCAUACUGACGCUGAGGCGCGAAAGCGUGGGGAUCAAACAGG